GGCCUGUUUUUAGGUACAUACAUACAUAUAAUCACGCUUAUUUCCCGGAGGGGUAGGCAGAGACCACGGAUUUCCACUUGCUACGAUCCUGACAUACCUCUUUCGCUUCCUUCACUUUCAUAACAUUCCUCAUACACGCUCGCCGGUUUAGGGUGCCUAAUAUAGUAGUAGUAGGGUGUAUAGUAGGUACGUUUCCUACAAUGGUUUUUUUGUCCCUUAUAAUUCUCCCAUUCCUUGUCCCACUAUGCAGCACCGAGAUACAAAAAUUGGUACUUGGAGGGAAAAACGUGACGGACAUAGGACAGUUUCCACACGCUCUGUACAUUCUUUUUACUUGUCCCGGCGAAACCGGCACAUGGUUGUGUGGAGGGUCCAUAUUGACUCAAAAUAUAUUUCUGACGGCGGCGCACUGUAUGAAUAUGCAGUGUAAUAUGAAAGUAGAGGCGGUUGCGGGUAGUGAAGAUAUUGGAAAGGCCAAGAGCAUAAUACGAAUCAUCGACAAAUACACACGACACGAAUAUUUCGACGAGCAAGGGCCAUCGAUGCGCAACGAUAUCGCACUGUUGGCUGCAAAGGUGCCCCUGCCGCUAGGAAGGAAUGUAAAACGAGUCGUGUUGAACAGACGCUUUCCAAUAAACACAACUAUGGUGGCCGUUGCUGGGUGGGGAAGGUAUUCCGUAACUAGUACCGAUUGGUCAAAAAACCUGAAGUACGUAUGGCAGUUUAUUAAACCCGAAAGAUAUUGCCAAAAACGUUUAGGAGAAUCUUUGUGGGCUGGUCAGAUGUGUGCUUCAAAUGACGUUAAACAUUACCCAACUAUCCACGACUCCGGAUGCGCGUUGGUCACCAAAUCCGGACACCAACUAGGCCUGGUGUCCUACAGGAUACCCACAGCGCCCGACGUCGUCGUAUACACGAAUAUCACCCAUUUCAUUCCGUGGAUAAGGAAGCAAGCACGCAUAUUGUUCUGUGCAGUAUCCAAAUUGCCAAAAGAAACAAAUGAUGAUGAUUAUUACGGGGAGGAUCCGAAUGAAGAACCAGACAAGAAUACUUUAAUGCAUAAAUUAGACACUGAUUUAAACUUUCACGAUUUUUAAACAUUAUUAAAUUGCACAACGGG